rnacentral:rRNA from 1 species
ACGACCAUAGGGUGUCGAAAACAGGGCUUCCCGUCCGCUCAGCCGUACUUAAGCCACACGCCGGCCGGUUAGUAGUUGGGUGGGUGACCACCAGCGAAUCCCGGCUGUUGUAUGUU